rnacentral:rRNA from 1 species
UACGUAGGUGACCAGCGUUGUCCGGAUUUACUGGGCGUAAAGAGCGCGCAGGCGGUCGUUCAAGUCGAGUGUGAAAGCCCCCGGCUCAACUGGGGAGGGUCACUCGAUACUGAUCGACUUGAAGGCAGGAGAGGGAAGCGGAAUUCCCGGUGUAGUGGUGAAAUGCGUAGAUAUCGGGAGGAACACCGAUGGCGAAGGCAGGUCUCUGGGCCACUACUGACGCUGAGAAGCGAAAGCAUGGGGAGCGAACAGG